AUAUAUAUAUAUUUGUUAAUUUAGGAAUUGCCUAAUCGUAUCAAACACCAACCUCCUUUUUUCUUCACUUCGAAACUUAUACAUCCAAUGCAUUUGUGUUUUGAUUGUCCCAGCACGUUAUUUUACUUGGUAGAAAUCCAAUUUGACAACUUAUUCCAAUAAUGUUCCUUUGUAUUUUUCUACUGAAAACACAUACACAAAAUUAAACUAAGAUUACAAUAGCCAUGCUUAUUAUUAACUUUAAUUAUAUAUGAGUGAACGAGGUUACUAGGUUACUGAUAUUCAGUCACCAACGAGAGUCUGGCGAGUUCUGCAUCCGUAGUUUAGGAGCAAGAUCAUCACGCGAAUAGUUCGACCCUAGUGCAGAGACAUCUAGCAAGUCCAGAGGUUGUGUUUCUUUGUAGAUGUAGCAGUCAGGUUUACUAUUUCAGGAAGUCCGAGGUAUGGAGCGAUUGGAGUUGUGCGAAAGACUGAUUUGGGUGAUUUGAUAAGCGCUAAAGGUCAGGUCCUGCCACAGUUUACUGAUCCUCUUACUCUAGAAGUGUUGGGUAUUCGUCAGGCAUUACUCGAGGCUUCUUGACCGCUGAUGCUUCCUACGGUCAUUCACACAGGCCCAACUGAAGGGGCCCUCCUUUUAGCUCAUACGCGUCAGAUAUGCGACUAGGAUUACUUCUACAGGACUGCAGAAGAUUGAUUGUUGCAGCACCUCAUGUUUGUAUCAAACACAUUCGUCGACAGGAUAAUGGUGCCGCCCAUUUCGUGGCACGUGAGGCUCUUACUUAUCCUGCUUCUUCGAAUCGUGUUUUUGAUCUUCGCUACUGUUUGUAAACACCCUACUUCUAUCUUUGGUGUAUCUAUGCAAGAUGCCUUCGACAAAAAAAAGUCGUAUAACAAGUUACGGACGAUAAUAACUAGUUUUUUAACAACUGGUUAUUUCACAUAUAACUAGUAUCAGAUGUAUUACUAUUUAUUUAUUCAUAUAACUAUUUAUUUUGAGUAUUGUAACCAGUUAUUAAGUCGUGUAACGAGUAACAGACGUUUAUAGCUAGUUAUAAAUUUGUGUAGUAUUAGUCUACGAAGAGGAGGAAACUCGCCGAAAAAGCAUGGUUUUCGAACGGACGGUUGAACCGUUAGCGUUUCGGUAUCAUGUCGUUUUAAUUUUGAAAGC
rnacentral:lncRNA from 1 species